rnacentral:rRNA from 1 species
UACGUAGGGUGCGAGCGUUGUCCGGAAUUACUGGGCGUAAAGAGCUCGUAGGUGGUUUGUCGCGUUGUCCGUGAAAACUCACAGCUUAACUGUGGGCGUGCGGGCGAUACGGGCAGACUGGAGUACUGCAGGGGGAGACUGGAAUUCCUGGUGUAGCGGUGGAAUGCGCAGAUAUCAGGAGGAACACCGGUGGCGAAGGCGGGUCUCUGGGCCGAUACUGACGCUGAGUGAGCGAAAGC